rnacentral:lncRNA from 1 species
UGAUUUUGUCCCAUUGCAGCAGGUGCAGAUAGCCUGUAUUUAAACUUCCUAAUGAUGAUGCCUAACUUAUGAUUCAGAUCAUUUGCUAACCAGGAGUGCCAGAUCCUCAUUCCCUAUGCAAGUUAAGGGAAGACAGUCUUUGUAAUGCCCAAAAUAGGAAGAACAGUAAAUAUAGCACAGUUCAGUGGACCUCUAGGCGUGUGGCUGGGAGUUCUGUUUGUUCUUCUGUGUAAAUAACCGAUGGUGUACAUUUAGGAGACCGAGCAUCAGAUCCUGUUGCUAUCACACCUGGUGAACAUACUGUCUUUCUAUUGUCAGUGGUAAUAUGCCACUAUUUUCUGUACCACUUCCAGAUGACUAUUAUUUACUGUCGCAGAUUUGUUAAAAUAUGGCAAACUGCAGUUCAGAAAAUGUAUUUCAUACCUGGUGCCUAAGGGAAAAACAAAAUAUUCUCAUGCUCUCAUCUGCAUGAUUUUUACAUAAUGAAUUUGUUGGUGUAUGCACAUGCUCAUAUCUUCACGGGGUUCUGACAUCUGUUUGAAGGAUUAUUACCCAGUUUACUCUGAAGACAAGUGACAUGCUGAGGGUUGGCCUUUCACUAUAAAUAUUAAGAAAACAAUUAAUCACUCUCUAAUGUAUUGUCAAGGCUUCAGUUCCUCACAAAUCUGACGCAAGGAAGUUUCAACUAUGGUAAUUCAUAGAAAUUAAAGGUGGGUUAAAAUAAAACACAUUGAAAAGAUACCA